rnacentral:tRNA from 1 species
AUUCAUUUAGUAUAUAAAGUAUAUUUAACUUCCAAUUAAAAGGAUUAAUUUAAAUGAAUA